rnacentral:rRNA from 1 species
UUACCUAGGCUUGACAUCCUCGGGAAUCCGCAGAGAUGCGGGAGUGCCUUCGGGAAUCCAGAGACAGGUGGUGCAUGGUUGUCGUCAGCUCGUGUCGUGAGAUGUUGGGUUAAGUCCCGCAACGAGCGCAACCCUCGACCUUAGUUGCCAGCAUUCAGUUGGGCACUCUAAGGUGACUGCCGGCUAAAAGUCGGAGGAAGUGGGGAUGACGUCAAAUCAUCAUGCCCCUUAUGACCUGGGCUACACACGUGCUACAAUGGGCGGUACAAAGGGUCGCGAACCCGCGAGGGGGAGCCAAUCCCAAAAAGCCGCUCUCAGUUCGGAUUGCAGGCUGCAACUCGCCUGCAUGAAGCCGGAAUCGCUAGUAAUCGCGGAUCAGCAUGCCGCGGUGAAUACGUUCCCGGGCCUU